GUUUUAAACAGAUUAUUAUAUCAUUGUUUAGUUGUUCAGUAAGGUUGGUAUAAUUUGUUUUUGGGACCGAUCCAUUGCUGAACCAUUUUUAAGUCCCAAAAUUACAUACGGUCAAAGCCAGCACAAAGGAAAAGAUCUUUCGAAGAAAGAUUAUCUUUUGGUAAUGAUCCUUCCGCAGGUUCACCUACGGAAA
rnacentral:misc_RNA from 1 species